rnacentral:rRNA from 1 species
UCGGGAAUUUUGGGCAAUGGGGGAAACCCUGACCCAGCACGCCGUGUGAAGGAUGAAGUAUUUCGGUAUGUAAACUUCGAAAGAAUAGGAAGAAUAAAUGACGGUACUAUUUAUAAGGUCCGGCUAACUACGUGCCAGCAGCCGCGGUAAUACGUAGGGACCAAGCGUUGUUCGGAUUUACUGGGCGUAAAGGGCGCGUAGGCGGCAUGACAAGUCACUUGUGAAAUCUCUGGGCUUAACCCAGAACGGCCAAGUGAUACUGUCGCGCUAGAGUGCAGAAGGGGCAAUCGGAAUUCUUGGUGUAGCGGUGAAAUGCGUAGAUAUCAAGAGGAACACCUGAGGUGAAGACGGGUUGCUGGGCUGACACUGACGCUGAGGCGCGAAAGCCAGGGGAGCAAACGGGAUUAGAUACCCAUGUAGUCCCUGAGCGGGCUGGCAAGGCGCAU